GUACGCAUAAAGUAGACCACCCAGCACUAGGGUUAUUGCUAAUACUAUUACUGUACCUAAAAU
rnacentral:misc_RNA from 1 species